rnacentral:lncRNA from 1 species
AUAGGAUCUAUGUUCCCUGCAUUUCCACCAGAGCCUGCGCAUGAUGCUUCUACCUCUAGGCCAUUUCACAUGUCAGGCGGCACUACAGAGAAUGUGUUUGCAGGAUAUAAUCCUGGAUUAGGAUAUGGCCAGGCUGGUGUUAGUCAUUUUGGUCAGUCUGAUCCUGCUGGUUCAGUGGUGCAACAUCCAGAUGUCAGUGCGCCGACACAGGAUGAUCUGGAGCAUCAGCAGUUCCUCGCACCGGGUCCAUGGCAAGGUCGAUUACGGGCUCCACAUGAGAGGAGACAUCGAGGGUGUGGGACUGGUGAUCAUGACUGACUGCGAGUUGAACAUGUAUGUAUGAAGUGUUUCAAUUAAAAUAUUUUGAUCAUGUUUAUGAUUCACUUUCAUUUUUGUCAUUGCAGGUGUAAAUUAAACAUCACCUCUAUGGCUGGCACUGGAGGAUGAUGCUACUUAGUUUAUUCCACAUAU